rnacentral:rRNA from 1 species
GACGAACGCUGGCGGCGUGCUUAACACAUGCAAGUCGUACGGUAAGGCCCUUUCGGGGGUACACGAGUGGCGAACGGGUGAGUAACACGUGAGUAACCUGCCCACAACUUUGGGAUAACGCUAGGAAACUGGUGCUAAUACUGGAUAUGUGCUCCUGCUGCAUGGUGGGGGUUGGAAAGCUCCGGCGGUUGUGGAUGGACUCGCGGCCUAUCAGCUUGUUGGUGGGGUAGUGGCCUACCAAGGCGGCGACGGGUAGCCGGCCUGAGAGGGUGACCGGCCACAUUGGGACUGAGAUACGGCCCAGACUCCUACGGGAGGCAGCAGUGGGGAAUAUUGCACAAGGGGCGCAAGCCUGAUGCAGCAACGCCGCGGGCGGGAUAACGGCCUUCGGGUUGUAAACCGCUUUCAGCAGGGACGAAGCUUUUUGUGACGGUACCUGCAGAAGAAGCACCGGCUAACUACGUG